CCUACGGGAGGCAGCAGUGGGGAAUCUUGCGCAAUGGGCGAAAGCCUGACGCAGCGACGCCGCGUGAGCGAUGAAGGCCUUCGGGUUGUAAAGCUCUGUGGGGAGGAAAGAAUAAGGGUUGGCUAAUAUCCAGCUCGAUGACGGUACCUCCUUAGCAAGCACCGGCUAACUCUGUGCCAGCAGCCGCGGUAAGACAGAGGGUGCAAACGUUGUUCGGAAUUACUGGGCGUAAGGCGCGUGUAGGCGGCCCUGCAAGUCGGAUGUGAAAUCCCACGGCUCAACCGUGGAAGUGCAUUCGAAACUGCAGGGCUAGAGUCCUGGAGAGGAAGGUGGAAUGCUUGGUGUAGAGGUGAAAUUCGUAGAUAUCAAGCGGAACACCGGUGGCGAAGGCGGCCUUCUGGACAGUGACUGACGCUGAGACGCGAAAGCGUGGGGAGCAAACAGGAUUAGAUACCCUGGUAGUCCACGCCGUAAACGAUGAGUGCUAGGUGUCACGGGCUUUGACCCUCGUGGUGCCGAAGCUAACGCGUUAAGCACUCCGCCUGGGGAGUACGGUCGCAAGACUAAAACUCAAAGGAAUUGACGGA
rnacentral:rRNA from 1 species